GGUAUUUGAAACUUUCAGGGCUGCCUUACCGUAUAGGCCUUACGAAUCAGUAACUCAUAGAGCACAUACUUUGUUUACGAGGGAUGAAUCACGCAAGUGGACUGAGGAUGAAAAAGCAUUUGUCUUAAAGUUUCAUGAAAAGCAUGGACCAGAUUGGAAAACCAUGGCCGAAGUCCUUGGAAAAAAUCGCUAUCAUGUGAAGGAUACAUGGCGUCGGAUAUGUCGUGAGAGUUUUAAAAAGGGUAUAAACAAUUAUCUUCAUCUAUGGUGAAGAAGAAGAAGAAAGAAGAAGAAGAAGAAAGUAAAUGGGCCGACGUAGACGAUUAUCGAUUGCUGGAUGAACUUGUUAGGCUGGAUGCUUGCUGUGUUGAAGAUGUUGACUGGGAUAAUCUUCUUGAGCAUAGGCCUGGGGAUACUACUCUGAAACGUUGGAGACAGAUGGUAAAUCACAUUGGUACGCAUGGACUGCUUUCCUUUGGAGAACAAGUAGAAGUGCUCGCUAAACGCUAU